UCGCCUGUUUAACAAAAACAUCGCCUGUUGAAUAUAUAACAGGUCCAUCCUGCCCAGUGAAAUUAAUUUCAACGGCCGCGGUACCCUGACCGUGCAAAGGUAGCAUAAUCAUUUGCCUUUUAAUUGGAGGCUAGUAUGAAAGGACAAACAAGAAUAUAACUGUCUCCUCUAGGACAAUAAAAACUGAUAUUAAGGUGCAGAAGCCUUAAUAAUAAUAAAGGACAAGAAGACCCUAUAGAGCUUUACUAAUAAGAGAUAUAAAACUUAAAUAUUAGUUUGGUUGGGGCAACCUAAAUACAAAUACACCUAUUUAUAAAAACAACAUACACACAACUAAAAAUAAAUUAGAAUUAGCUACCUUAGGGAUAACAGGCUAAUCCCACUAGAGAGAUCACAUUGACAGUGGGGGUUGGCACCUCGAUGUUGGCUUAGCGUAACUAUUAGGCGCAGCUGUCUAAUAAAGUUGGUUUGUUCAACCAUUAAACCGCUACAUGAGCUGAGUUCAGACCGGA
rnacentral:rRNA from 1 species